AGGAAGUUGGACAGAUGAACGCUGGGGCUGUAUGUCAGGAGUUGGUGUGGAAGUAAAGAAGUAGCAGGUGGAAUAUUGAAGAAAUCAGAUAGCCUGGGUCCUGAUGCCCAGCCCUGCUGUGUACUGUGAAUGCUGGGUUAAUAGAAUGGACCCAGAGAGAUUGCCUAAUUAAUCUUGGAAAGAGGUGUGUGUAUUUAAUGAUCCUUCAAUAAAGGAGCUAUGCUUCCUCCAAGAGAACUGGAUUGAAAAGGAAGUUAAAUUCAGCCCUACUGCAAAAUGUAGAGGCUGAACCUGUUCACCCAUUUCAUGUUCAACUGCAGCACUGCUCAAUUCCUUUUGUCGUCUUUCUUCAGACAUCAUGCUGGUCCGUGCCCAUUUGUGUAUUUUUUAAGCGUGAUUCUAUUUUUAAUUGGCAAAUAAUAGUUGUAUAUAUUUAUAGGGUUCCAUGUAAUGUUCAAUACCUGUAUACAUUAUGGAAUGAUCAAAUCAGGCUAAUAAAUCCAUGCCCAUUUGCUUUUGCACCUCCAGUUGCCUCUGUUUGAACCCCCUCUCCAGACCUGUAUACACCUCACAAAUUCCUGCAUAUUAUUAAUAGUCAAAACUUUACUGAAACAUCCCCUUUAGAGUAAAGUCUUCAAUGCAUCUUCUAGACAGAACUUAUACAUUCCUCCUUUUAUCAUUUCUAUCCUUUGAACAACUAUAUUUGUAUUCAUAAAAGGGCCCUUGUGUUUAAAUAUUUGUCUCCCUUUAUCCCCCCGACAAGGCUUAGUGUAGGGCUUCAAAAAUCGCAGUGAUUAAAACAUCUGAAUUCAACUUCCUGAGUUCUUUCAGUGUUGUAAUUAAAUUAAAAAGUUGGCUUUUUUUUAACCUGCCAGGUAAAUUAAACUUUCAAUUUGUCAACAGUAUGGGUUGAGUUCAGUCAUAUGUUGGAAAUUUACUUAGUGCUGUUAUUAAAUGCCAAGUGAAAGAAAUUGCAGAGCAAUCUAUUGAUUCUAAAGCUUAGAAAUUAAAAUUUUCUAUUUUAAGGAACGCCCCUGAUAUCAAGAAUUGAAAUGAAAUAUCAGCGAUAUGGUCUGAUUAAACUCUGUGAGUAAUACAUCAGAAUUUCCUCUGUGCUAGGAGUUUUCCUACAUUCUUCUCCGAAGGAACCAAAAGUGAGACCUUUAAUGAGGAGCAGAACCCUACUGUUUGCUUUCUUCUUUGGUUUCUGAUUGUCCGGGACCAACCUGAGAUGCACAGAAAGGAUGAAGUGUAUGUUAGAG
rnacentral:lncRNA from 10 species